CUCUGCAUCCCUAGAGGAAGAGAGCCCGCCUGGGCGCCCCUGAGCCGCUCCCCAGGGGAGAGAGGAGAUCUCUGUUUACUCAAGACCGAAAGCAGCCGGAUUCAAGGUAUUCCAGACAACUCAGGCCCAUCUGCUACACUUGAUGGAAGAAGGGAUCGUGUAUCUUCUGCAAAGGAGAGCCAGAGAGAGUGCUGCUGGAGACGGGUAACUCAGCAGCAACAUCUCACAGAAACACAGGCAGGAAGGAAUGAUCCACUGGAUGAUGUCGCCCACUUGAAAGAACGUUGCCUUUUUAUGAUUUCUUGAGCACCAAUUAUCCAUGCAAUGCUCUGCUACCGACGCCUUCAUGAAUCUUGUCGCUUUUCUCUUCAGAUUUUAGUUAGUGUUUUCAGCAACUGGUAAUGCAUUAGUAACUAUUAUGUACCCUGGAAUGCUUUUAUAAAUUAUUAAACAUUAACGGUUUUGCUUUCAAAAAAUAACUAAGACUGAAUCCUGG
rnacentral:lncRNA from 1 species